rnacentral:rRNA from 6 species
ACGGGUGAGUAACGCGUGAGAAUCUAGCUUCAGGUCGGGGACAACCAAUAGAAACGGUGGCUAAUACCGGAUGUGCCGAAAGGUGAAAGAUUUAUUGCCUGAAGAUGAGCUCGCGUCUGAUUAGCUAGUUGGUGUGGUAAGAGCGCACCAAGGCGACGAUCAAUGCAUGGUCUGAGAGGAUGAUCAGCCACACUGGGACUGAGACACGGCCCAGACUCCUACGGGAGGCAGCAGUGGGGAAUUUUCCGCAAUGGGCAUGCUUAUGACGGAGCAAUACCGCGUGAGGGAGGAAGGCUCUUGGGUUGUAAACCUCUUUUCUCAGGGAAUAAAAAAAUGAAGGUACCUGAUUUAUAAGCAUCGGCUAACUCCGUGCCAGCAGCCGCGGUAAUACGGAGGAUGCAAGCGUUAUCCGGAAUGAUUGGGCGUAAAGCGUCCGCAGGUGGCACUAUAAGUCUGCUGUUAAAGAGCAAGGCUCAACCUUGUAAAGGCAGUGGAAACUACAGAGCUAGAGUACGUUCGGGGCAGAGGGAAUUCCUGGUGUAGCGGUUUAAUGCGUAGAGAUCAGGAAGAACACCGGUGGCGAAAGCGCUCUGCUAGGCCGUAACUGACACUGAGGGACGAAAGCUAGGGGAGCGAAUGGGAUUAGAUACCCCAGUAGUC